UAAUACGGAGGGGGCUAGCGUUGUUCGGAAUUACUGGGCGUAAAGCGUACGUAGGCGGCUCGGCAAGUCAGAGGUGAAAGCCCAGGGCUCAACCCUGGAUGUGCCUUUGAAACUGCUGAGCUUGAAUGCGGGAGAGGUGAGUGGAAUUCCGAGUGUAGAGGUGAAAUUCGUAGAUAUUCGGAAGAACACCAGUGGCGAAGGCGACUCACUGGACCGCUAUUGACGCUGAGGUACGAAAGCGUGGGGAGCAAACAGGAUUAGAUACCCUGGUAGUCCACGCCGUAAACGAUGAGAACUAGCUGUCGGGGCACUUGGUGCUUCGGUGGCGCAGCUAACGCGUUAAGUUCUCCGCCUGGGGAGUACGGCCGCAAGGUUA
rnacentral:rRNA from 1 species